UACGGAGGGUGCGAGCGUUAAUCGGAAUUACUGGGCGUAAAGCGCGCGUAGGCGGUUUGUUAAGUCAGCUGUGAAAGCCCCGGGCUCACCCUGGGAACUGCAGUUGAUACUGGCCGACUAGAGUAUGAAAGAGGGAGGUAGAAUUCCAUGUGUAGCGGUGAAAUGCGUAGAUAUAUGGAGGAAUACCAGUGGCGAAGGCGGCCUCCUGGGUCGAUACUGACGCUCAUGCACGAAAGCGUGGGGAGCAAACAGG
rnacentral:rRNA from 1 species